UACGUAGGGUGCGAGCGUUGUCCGGAAUUAUUGGGCGUAAAGAGCUUGUAGGCGGUCUGUCGCGUCCUGCUGAUGAAAUCCGGGGCUCAACCCCGGACUUGCAGUGGGUACGGGCAGACUAGAGUGGUGGUAGGGGAGACUGGAAUUCCUGGUGAUAGCGGUGAAAUGCGCAGAUAUCAAGGAGGAACACCGAGUGGCGAAGGCAGGUCUCCUGGGC
rnacentral:rRNA from 1 species